rnacentral:rRNA from 1 species
GCUAACACAUGCAAGUCGAGCGAGAAGGCUUUCGGGCUUAGUACAGCGGCAAACGGGUGAGUAACGCGUGGGAAUUUACCUUUUAGUGAAGAAUAACCCUGAGAAAUUGGUGUUAAUACUGCAUAAGUCCCUUCGGGGAGAAAGAUGGCCUCUUUGCUGUCGCUGAAAGAUAAGCCUGCGUACUAUUAGCUAGUUGGUAGGGUAAAAGCCUACCAAGGCGAUGAUGGUUAGCCGGCCUGAGAGGGUGUUCGGCCACACUGGAACUUAGACACGGUCCAGACUCCUACGGGAGGCAGCAGUGAGGAAUCUUGCGCAAUGGGCGAAAGCCUGACGCAGCGCACGCCGCGUGGAGGAUGAAGGUCUUCGGAUCGUAAACUUCUGUUAAGUGGGAAGAAAGAACUGGUCUUAAUACGAUCAGGUGAUGACUGUACCAUUA